rnacentral:rRNA from 1 species
ACGGAAGGCAGCAGUGGGGGAUAUUGCACAAUGGGGGAAACCCUGAUGCAGCGACGCCGCGUGAGUGAAGAAGUAUUUCGGUAUGUAAAGCUCUAUCAGCAGGGAAGAAAAUGACGGUACCUGACUAAGAAGCCCCGGCUAACUACGUGCCAGCAGCCGCGGUAAUACGUAGGGGGCAAGCGUUAUCCGGAUUUACUGGGUGUAAAGGGAGCGUAGACGGCAUGGCAAGUCUGAAGUGAAAGCUCGGGGCUCAACCCCGGAACUGCUUUGGAAACUGUCAAGCUAGAGUAUCGGAGAGGUAAGCGGAAUUCCUAGUGUAGCGGUGAAAUGCGUAGAUAUUAGGAGGAACACCAGUGGCGAAGGCGGCUUACUGGACUGUAACUGACGUUGAGGCUCGAAAGCGUGGGGAGCAAACAGGAUUAGAUACCCUGGUA